rnacentral:rRNA from 1 species
GAUGAACGCUGGCGGCGUGCCUAAUACAUGCAAGUCGAGCGAACAGACGAGGAGCUUGCUCCUCUGAUGUUAGCGGCGGACGGGUGAGUAAAACGUGGAUAACCUACCUAUAAGACUGGGAUAACUUCGGGAAACCGGAGCUAAUAACGGAUAACAUGUUGAACCGCAUGGUUCAACAGUGAAAGACGGUCUUGCUGUCACUUAUAGAUGGAUCCGCGCCGCAUUAGCUAGUUGGUAAGGUAACGGCUUACCAAGGCAACGAUGCGUAGCCGACCUGAGAGGGUGAUCGGCCACACUGGAACUGAGACACGGUCCAGACUCCUACGGGAGGCAGCAGUAGGGAAUCUUCCGCAAUGGGCGAAAGCCUGACGGAGCAACGCCGCGUGAGUGAAGAAGGUCUUCGGAUCGUAAAACUCUGUUAUUAGGGAAGAACAAAUGUGUAAGUAACUAUGCACGUCUUGACGGUACCUAAUCAGAAAGCCACGGCUAACUACGUG